rnacentral:rRNA from 1 species
CAAUAGCGUAUAUUAAAGUUGUUGCGGUUAAAAAGCUCGUAGUUGGAUUUCUGCUGAGAACGACCGGUCCGCCCUCUGGGUGUGUAUCUGGCUCUUUCUUGGCAUCUUCUUGGUGAACGUUGCUGCACUUGACUGUGUGGAGCGCUACCCAGGACUUUUACUUUGAGGAAAUUAGAGUGUUUCAAGCAGGCAUACGCCUUGAAUACAUUAGCAUGGAAUAAUAAGAUAGGACCUCGGUUCUAUUUUGUUGGUUUCUAGAGCUGAGGUAAUGAUUAAUAGGGAUAGUUGGGGGCAUUCGUAUUUAACUGUCAGAGGUGCAAUUCUUGGAUUUGUUAAAGACGGACUACUGCGAAAGCAUUUGCCAAGGAUGUUUUCAUUGA